AUUUUGAGUUCCUCCCCCGAAGGCCGAGCUCCUCGCAGGUUAUAUCUUCUUCUUCGUCUUCUCCUCCUCUAAGAUUUACACUUAUUCGCUAAGGUUUCUUCUUCUUCUCUCUCUCUGUGUUCGACACACUCAGAUUGAAGCCCUCAAUCCACCGACACGAAGCCCAGAGCUGCGGGAGGGUUGUCUUUCCUUUGACAGAAUCACUAUGGCAUCUUCUCAAUCAUCAUCUUUAGAUAAUGAUUUUGUGAUGGAGUCACCAACUUGUUGGUGUGGUUUGAAAACGCCACUAAAGACGUCCUACACUAAGAAAAAUCCAGGAAGGAGAUUUUUUGCCUGCCCCAAAUAUAAUACGGAAGAUGCGAGGUGUGAAUUCUUCGUAUGGGCGGAUAUUUUUCAGUUGUUAGUGGAGAACAUGUUAUUAAAACAGAACUCGCGGCGUAAUACAUGGGAUGAUGUAUUAUGCCGCGAGUAUGCCGUUCGGAAAAGGGAAGAAAAAGUGAGAGAGAUAGCGAAGAAUCUAAAAAAGGAAAAGCGAAAGUUAUUGUAUUUGUACUGGAUUAUCACCUUUGUAAUAUUGUUUGCUUGGUUUGGAUAAAUGUAAUGUAAAAAGCACGUUGUAUAAAUUAUGUAAUUUUUGAU